AUGUUCAGCUUCACCCUUAUAAAUUCCCUCACCUGGACAAGGCUCGCAGGUUGUAUAAUCUGUUGCUUAGUAAUGAAUGGCGUGAGAAGUAUGGCGACUGAGAAUACAUUCUCAAUGAUACCUCAGCCCGAUGGAAGCGUAACUAACUUCACUGGGAAUCGCAUGUGGGAAGUUUUUUCACCUGGGAAAAUGAUGGAGGGUGAUGUAAUUGACUUCCUCAUUGAUGAUCGGAAGCAAGAUCCCGAUAGAAAUGCUGAUUUCGCAUCUGGGAAAAGGAUAUUGUUGAGUCCAUAUUUCAUCACGGUUGUGCUUGACUGUUUGUUUUACGAGGAUGAAAAUAAAGUGUUUAAUGUGGAGAGUGCAGCGAGAGAUUUCAAGAGCUAUGUUAAAGCUAAUGAAGACUUGCUCAGUGCCGACCUUAUCACGAUGCCUCUAUUCAAGCCUAUGGUUUUAUCAAAGGAUAGGAAAGUGAGCCACUAUUCCUUAUAUGUCAUGAAUCGGUACCGAAGUAGCGUUGACAUCCUUGACUCUUUACCUUAUCCGAAGAACCACCGUCCUUCGAAGAACACCUAUCACAAAGACUACGAGAAGAUUUACAAUGCAAGCAAGCAGCCCAAUUGGGAGCUGUUUGCAAAGAAACCAAUGUUUGUCAAGGUUCCACUUCAAGGGUCGAAUGAAUGUGGCCAUUAUACUCUGAAGUAUGCGGGAUGCUAUGAUGGUGAAAAGAUCGUUGAGAACAUUCAAGAUAAUGACCCACGCAUUGUUAAUUGGAACGCUGAGGAUCUGUAUAGAGUUGUGUUCAACCGUAAUAACCAUCUUAUGGUGACGGAGCUUCCCAAGGAGGUUCAGGCUUUGGCUCCUGAUGCAUAG
rnacentral:rRNA from 1 species